rnacentral:tRNA from 2 species
GGCCCAUUCGUCUAGAGGUUAGGACGCUAGGAUUUCAUCCUAAUAACAGGAGUUCGAUUCUUCUAUGGGCUA